ACGGUUACCUUGUUACGACUUAGCCCCAGUCACCGGUUUUACCCUAGGGCGCUCCUUGCGGCAGCGCACUUCAGGCACCCCCGGCUUCCAUGGCUUGACGGGCGGUGUGUACAAGGCCCGGGAACGUAUUCACCGCGCCGUGGCUGAUGCGCGAUUACUAGCGAAUCCAGCUUCAUGGAGUCGGGUUGCAGACUCCAAUCCGAACUGAGACAGGCUUUCGGGUUCCGCUCCCUGUCGCCAGGUGGCUUCCCGCUGUACCUGCCAUUGUAACACGUGUGUCGCCCCGGACGUAAGGGCCGUGCUGAUUUGACGUCAUCCCCGCCUUCCUCGCAGCUUGCGCCGGCAGUCUCGACAGAGUCCUCAGCCUAACCUGUUAGCAACUGUCGAUGGGGGUUGCGCUCGUUAUGGCACUUAAGCCGACACCUCACGGCACGAGCUGACGACAAUCAUGCAGCACCUCGACACAGGCUCCGUAGAGCCGACCCCUUUCAGGGCCGUUCCUGUGUCGUUUGAGCCCGGGUAAGGUUCCUCGCGUAUCAUCGAAUUAAACCACAUGUUCCUCCGCUUGUGCGGGCCCCCGUCAAUUCCUUUGAGUUUCACCGUUGCCGGCGUACUCCC
rnacentral:rRNA from 1 species